GGAUUAUCUGCGUAGGUGACCUGCGGAGGAUCAUUACCGAGUGCGGGCUGCCUCCGGGCGCCCAACCUCCCACCCGUGACUACCUAACACUGUUGCUUCGGCGGGGAGCCCUCUCGGGGGCGAGCCGCCGGGGACUACUGAACUUCAUGCCUGAGAGUGAUGCAGUCUGAGUCUGAAUAUAAAAUCAGUCAAAACUUUCAACAAUGGAUCUCUUGGUUCCGGCAUCGAUGAAGAACACAA
rnacentral:misc_RNA from 1 species